rnacentral:rRNA from 1 species
AUUGAACGCUGGCGGCAUGCCUUACACAUGCAAGUCGAACGGUAACAGGUUAAGCUGACGAGUGGCGAACGGGUGAGUAAUGCAUCGGAACGUGCCCGGUCGUGGGGGAUAACGCAGCGAAAGCUGCGCUAAUACCGCAUACGAUCUGAGGAUGAAAGCGGGGGACCGUAAGGCCUCGCGCGAUCGGAGCGGCCGAUGUCAGAGUAGGUAGUUGGUGGGGUAAAGGCUCACCAAGCCGACGAUCUGUAGCUGGUCUGCGAGGACGACCAGCCACACUGGGACGGAGACGCGGCCCAGACACCUACGGGAGGCAGCAGUGGGGAAUUUUGGACAAUGGGCGCAAGCCUGAUCCAGCAAUGCCGCGUGCAGGAAGAAGGCCUUCGGGUUGUAAACUGCUUUUGUACGGAGCGAAAAGGCUCUCUCUAAUACAGGGGGCUCAUGACGGUACCGUAAGAAUAAGCACCGGCUAACUACGUGCCAGCCGCCGCAGUAA